GUUCGGUCACACACUGUGUGCUUGAAGUUUGGACUUGCUAUUUACUCGCAAUUUAAAUCUUAAUCAUUAAGUUCUUCCUCAUUCGCUACGUAUUUGUCUCUCCUACUUAGGGUGACCAAACCCUUAAUACAUUUAUACAAACAAAACUGCUUUAAAAACGGUCUGUCCCUCGAGCAUCCGCCUGUUGUUUGUAGCUUUAGCCUGCUAGCGCCGCUGGUCAGCUAAAGCUACCGACCUCUUUAACCAUACACUUUUGACUUACUGGCUUUGCUCUUUACCCCGUAAAAUGUCGCUUCCGUCUCUGUCCUUGUGUGCAGGAGAAGCAUCGAUGGAGGCGUUGGAGCUGGAGCUGGAAGAAGUGGAGUCCCAGAUCCGCGCGCUGGUGGUAAGACGGUCGCGGCUACGGGAACGGCUUCUAGCCGUACCUCAUGCUAAGGCCGUCUCAUCACCUAAGGUACGUGGAAAUUACAACCACAUCAUUCCCUCUACCUCAACCCCGCGUCCUUCUCUGUCCAGGCCCAGCGCACCCGGGGCGCGGCUCAGCCAGGCGUCGUUCACGCCGACACCCGGCUACCACGGCGCCUGGGUGCAGCCGCGCAAGGUGCUUCCCAGAUCCCGGGGCAGAACGUCUCCGCCUGUGUUCGAGAUCUCCACGGAGAACCGCUUCUCCCCGCUCCGCGAGUCGGGUCCGAUGUGGCCAUCAUCGGUGACUCGAUCGUUCGUCACGUCCGUGCCGCCUCCUCAAAAGAUUCCAACCAUCCUGGGCGCUGCCGAGAGCCCUGGUGCCGUUGUCCUCCAC
rnacentral:lncRNA from 1 species